AUUGAACGCUGGCGGCAGGCCUAACACAUGCAAGUCGAACGAGUGGCGGACGGGUGAGUAAUGUCUGGGAAACUGCCCGUUGGUGGGGGAUAACUACUGGAAACGGUAGCUAAUAACGCAUACUAUCGGAUGAACCCCUAUGGGAUUAGCUAGUAGGUGGGGUAAAGGGUCACGUAGGCGACGAUCGCUAGCGGGUCUGAGAGGAGGAUCAGCCACAGUGGGACUGGGAAACGGGCCAGACUCCAGCGGGAGGCAGCAGUGGGGAAUAGUGCACAAUGGGCGAAAGCCGGAUGCAGCCAUGCCGGGUGUAUGAAGAAGGCCUUAGGGUUGUAAAGUGCUUUCAGCGGGGAGGCGUUACCCGCAGAAGAAGCACCGGCUAACUCCGUGCCAGCAGCCGCGGUAAUAC
rnacentral:rRNA from 1 species